UACGAAGGGGGCUAGCGUUGCUCGGAUUGACUGGGCGUAAAGGGCGCGUAGGCGGUUCGUACAGUCAGACGUGAAAUUCCUGGGCUCAACCUGGGGGCUGCGCUUGAUACGUGCGGGCUUGAGUGCGGAAGAGGGUCGUGGAAUUCCCAGUGUAGAGGUGAAAUUCGUAGAUAUUGGGAAGAACACCGGUGGCGAAGGCG
rnacentral:rRNA from 1 species